GGUUAAGCGACUAAGCGUACACGGUGGAUGCCCUGGCAGUCAGAGGCGAUGAAGGACGUGCUAAUCUGCGAUAAGCGUCGGUAAGGUGAUAUGAACCGUUAUAACCGGCGAUUUCCGAAUGGGGAAACCCAGUGUGUUUCGACACACUAUCAUUAACUGAAUCCAUAGGUUAAUGAGGCGAACCGGGGGAACUGAAACAUCUAAGUACCCCGAGGAAAAGAAAUCAACCGAGAUUCCCCCAGUAGCGGCGAGCGAACGGGGAGGAGCCCAGAGCCUGAAUCAGUGUGUGUGUUAGUGGAAGCGUCUGGAAAGGCGCGCGAUACAGGGUGACAGCCCCGUACACAAAAAUGCACAUGCUGUGAGCUCGAUGAGUAGGGCGGGACACGUGGUAUCCUGUCUGAAUAUGGGGGGACCAUCCUCCAAGGCUAAAUACUCCUGACUGACCGAUAGUGAACCAGUACCGUGAGGGAAAGGCGAAAAGAACCCCGGCGAGGGGAGUGAAAAAGAACCUGAAACCGUGUACGUACAAGCAGUGGGAGCACGCUUAGGCGUGUGACUGCGUACCUUUUGUAUAAUGGGUCAGCGACUUAUAUUCUGUAGCAAGGUUAACCGAAUAGGGGAGCCGAAGGGAAACCGAGUCUUAACUGGGCGUUAAGUUGCAGGGUAUAGACCCGAAACCCGGUGAUCUAGCCAUGGGCAGGUUGAAGGUUGGGUAACACUAACUGGAGGACCGAACCGACUAAUGUUGAAAAAUUAGCGGAUGACUUGUGGCUGGGGGUGAAAGGCCAAUCAAACCGGGAGAUAGCUGGUUCUCCCCGAAAGCUAUUUAGGUAGCGCCUCGUGAAUUCAUCUCCGGGGGUAGAGCACUGUUUCGGCAAGGGGGUCAUCCCGACUUACCAACCCGAUGCAAACUGCGAAUACCGGAGAAUGUUAUCACGGGAGACACACGGCGGGUGCUAACGUCCGUCGUGAAGAGGGAAACAACCCAGACCGCCAGCUAAGGUCCCAAAGUCAUGGUUAAGUGGGAAACGAUGUGGGAAGGCCCAGACAGCCAGGAUGUUGGCUUAGAAGCAGCCAUCAUUUAAAGAAAGCGUAAUAGCUCACUGGUCGAGUCGGCCUGCGCGGAAGAUGUAACGGGGCUAAACCAUGCACCGAAGCUGCGGCAGCGACGCUUAUGCGUUGUUGGGUAGGGGAGCGUUCUGUAAGCCUGUGAAGGUGUGCUGUGAGGCAUGCUGGAGGUAUCAGAAGUGCGAAUGCUGACAUAAGUAACGAUAAAGCGGGUGAAAAGCCCGCUCGCCGGAAGACCAAGGGUUCCUGUCCAACGUUAAUCGGGGCAGGGUGAGUCGACCCCUAAGGCGAGGCCGAAAGGCGUAGUCGAUGGGAAACAGGUUAAUAUUCCUGUACUUGGUGUUACUGCGAAGGGGGGACGGAGAAGGCUAUGUUGGCCGGGCGACGGUUGUCCCGGUUUAAGCGUGUAGGCUGGUUUUCCAGGCAAAUCCGGAAAAUCAAGGCUGAGGCGUGAUGACGAGGCACUACGGUGCUGAAGCAACAAAUGCCCUGCUUCCAGGAAAAGCCUCUAAGCAUCAGGUAACAUCAAAUCGUACCCCAAACCGACACAGGUGGUCAGGUAGAGAAUACCAAGGCGCUUGAGAGAACUCGGGUGAAGGAACUAGGCAAAAUGGUGCCGUAACUUCGGGAGAAGGCACGCUGAUAUGUAGGUGAAGUCCCUCGCGGAUGGAGCUGAAAUCAGUCGAAGAUACCAGCUGGCUGCAACUGUUUAUUAAAAACACAGCACUGUGCAAACACGAAAGUGGACGUAUACGGUGUGACGCCUGCCCGGUGCCGGAAGGUUAAUUGAUGGGGUUAGCGCAAGCGAAGCUCUUGAUCGAAGCCCCGGUAAACGGCGGCCGUAACUAUAACGGUCCUAAGGUAGCGAAAUUCCUUGUCGGGUAAGUUCCGACCUGCACGAAUGGCGUAAUGAUGGCCAGGCUGUCUCCACCCGAGACUCAGUGAAAUUGAACUCGCUGUGAAGAUGCAGUGUACCCGCGGCAAGACGGAAAGACCCCGUGAACCUUUACUAUAGCUUGACACUGAACAUUGAGCCUUGAUGUGUAGGAUAGGUGGGAGGCUUAGAAGUGUGGACGCCAGUCUGCAUGGAGCCGACCUUGAAAUACCACCCUUUAAUGUUUGAUGUUCUAACGUUGACCCGUAAUCCGGGUUGCGGACAGUGUCUGGUGGGUAGUUUGACUGGGGCGGUCUCCUCCUAAAGAGUAACGGAGGAGCACGAAGGUUGGCUAAUCCUGGUCGGACAUCAGGAGGUUAGUGCAAUGGCAUAAGCCAGCUUGACUGCGAGCGUGACGGCGCGAGCAGGUGCGAAAGCAGGUCAUAGUGAUCCGGUGGUUCUGAAUGGAAGGGCCAUCGCUCAACGGAUAAAAGGUACUCCGGGGAUAACAGGCUGAUACCGCCCAAGAGUUCAUAUCGACGGCGGUGUUUGGCACCUCGAUGUCGGCUCAUCACAUCCUGGGGCUGAAGUAGGUCCCAAGGGUAUGGCUGUUCGCCAUUUAAAGUGGUACGCGAGCUGGGUUUAGAACGUCGUGAGACAGUUCGGUCCCUAUCUGCCGUGGGCGCUGGAGAACUGAGGGGGGCUGCUCCUAGUACGAGAGGACCGGAGUGGACGCAUCACUGGUGUUCGGGUUGUCAUGCCAAUGGCACUGCCCGGUAGCUAAAUGCGGAAGAGAUAAGUGCUGAAAGCAUCUAAGCACGAAACUUGCCCCGAGAUGAGUUCUCCCUGACUCCUUGAGAGUCCUGAAGGAACGUUGAAGACGACGACGUUGAUAGGCCGGGUGUGUAAGCGCAGCGAUGCGUUGAGCUAACCGGUACUAAUGAACCGUGAGGCUUAACCUU
rnacentral:rRNA from 1 species